rnacentral:rRNA from 1 species
GUGGGGAAUUUUGGACAAUGGGCGCAAGCCUGAUCCAGCAAUGCCGCGUGCAGGAAGAAGGCCUUCGGGUUGUAAACUGCUUUUGUACGGAACGAAACGGUCCGGGUUAAUACCCUGGGCUAAUGACGGUAACGUAAGAAUAAGCACCGGCUAACUACGUGCCAGCAGCCGCGGUAAUACGUAGGGUGCAAGCGUUAAUCGGAAUUACUGGGCGUAAAGCGUGCGCAGGCGGUUUUGUAAGACAGGCGUGAAAUCCCCGGGCUCAACCUGGGAAUUGCGCUUGUGACUGCAAGGCUGGAGUGCGGCAGAGGGGGAUGGAAUUCCGCGUGUAGCAGUGAAAUGCGUAGAUAUGCGGAGGAACACCGAUGGCGAAGGCAAUCCCCUGGGCCUGCACUGACGCUCAUGCACGAAAGCGUGGGGAGCAAACAGGAUUAGAAACCCCGGUAGUCC